GACGUAGGGCGCGAGCGUUGUCCGGAUUUAUUGGGCGUAAAGAGCUCGUAGGCGGCUUGUCGCGUCGACUGUGAAAACCCGCGGCUCAACUGUGGGCUUGCAGUCGAUACGGGCAGACUGGAGUACUGCAGGGGAGACUGGAAUUCCUGGUGUAGCGGUGGAAUGCGCAGAUAUCAGGAGGAACACCGGUGGCGAAGGCGGGUCACUGGACCGGUACUGACGCUGAGGCGCGAAAGCGUGGGGAGCAAACGGG
rnacentral:rRNA from 1 species